UGGUCCUAGCCUUGCAAUCAACUUUUACUUGACUUACACAUGCAAGUAUCCGCACCCCCGUGAAAACGCCCUUACAUCCCCUAUAGGGAUAAGGAGCUGGUAUCAGGCACAAAAUUUAGCCCAAAACACCUAGCUUAGCCACACCCCCACGGGAAUUCAGCAGUGAUCAACAUUGAACAUCAGCGUCAGCUGGAUUCAGUUAAAGUUUAUAGAGCCGGCUAAUCUGGUGCCAGCCGCCGCGGUUACCCCAUGUGGCUCAAGUUGAUUUCCUCCGGCGUAAAGCGUGAUUUAAGAGACUUAUUUUGAUAUCAAAUUUUUACUAAGCCGUGACACGCUUGUACAAAAGAAGACCUAAAACGAAAGUUAUAUCAACUAAAUCAACUUGAACUCACGACAGUUAAGACACAAACUGGGAUUAGAUACCCCACUAUGCUUAACCGUAAAACUUUAUUUACAACAUUUAUCGCCAGGGAACUACGAGCUAUGCUUAAAACCCAACGGACUUGACGGUACCCCAAAUCCACCUAGAGGAGCCUGUCCUAUAAUCGAUAAUCCCCGCUUUACCUCACCAUUUUUUGCAAAUCAGCCUGUAUACCUCCGUCGUCAGCUUACCAUGUGAACGUUUUAUAGUGAGCUCAAUGCUUUUUCACCAGUACGUCAGGUCAAGGUGCAGCUAAUGAAAUGGAUAGAGAUGGGCUACACUUUCUAACAUAGAAUAUACGAAAGACUACUUAUGAAACCUAGUCUGAAGGCGGAUUUAGAAGUAAAAAGAAACAAGAACAUUCUUUUUAACUCGGCACUGGGGUGUGUACACACCGCCCGUCACCCUCUUCAAAGCUAAAGCCACUUUUUAUAAAUUACCUGCAGCAUCACAGAAGAGGCAAGUCGUAACAAGGUAAGUAUACCGGAAGGUGUGCUUGGAAU
rnacentral:ncRNA from 1 species